GCCCCUAUAGCUCAGUGGUAGAGCGCUUCACUGUAAGUUGCCGUAUCAAACAUAUGGAUCUGGAUAUCAAAUGUUGACCUUCCUAGCGUAGUGUACUAUAUGUGCUAUGAAGAGGUCCAUCGUUCGAACCGGUGUGGGGGCA
rnacentral:tRNA from 1 species